AGGCGAAGAAAACAAGGUUUUGAAGGUUAAAAAAAAAGAACAUAAUUGGUGAGACGGUUGGCGUCUCUCAUGGGCGAUGUGACGGCACUCCAACCUCACCCAUAGCCCGUCGACCACGCCAGUAUAUCCUACUGCCUGCCUUCAGAAUGCCAUCCUGAGAUCAG